rnacentral:rRNA from 1 species
UACGGAGGGAGCUAGCGUUGUUCGGAAUUACUGGGCGUAAAGCGCACGUAGGCGGACAUUUAAGUCAGGGGUGAAAUCCCAGAGCUCAACUCUGGAACUGCCUUUGAUACUGGGUAUCUCGAGUUCGAGAGAGGUGAGUGGAAUUCCGAGUGUAGAGGUGAAAUUCGUAGAUAUUCGCAAGAACACCAGUGGCGAAGGCGGCUCACUGGCCCGGUACUGACGCUGAGGUGCGAAAGCGUGGGGAGCAAACAGG